rnacentral:SRP_RNA from 1 species
GCCGGGUGUGGUGGCGGGCGCCUGUAAUCCCAGCUACUCGGGAGGCUGAGGCAGGAGAAUCGCUUGAACCUGGGAGGUGGAGGUUGCAGUGAGCCGAGAUCGGGCCACUGCACUCCAGCCUGGGCAACAGAGCGAGACUCCGUCUCAG